GGGAUGUUAACUUAAAUUUUAAAGUAUUAGACUUUUAAUCUAAAGAUGUUUACACAUUUUC
rnacentral:tRNA from 1 species